rnacentral:rRNA from 1 species
UACGUAGGGUGCGAGCGUUAAUCGGAAUUACUGGGCGUAAAGCGUGCGCAGGCGGUGAGCUGUGUCCGAUGUGAAAGCCCCGGGCUUAACCUGGGAAUGGCAUUGGAAACUGGCUCGCUGGAGUGUGGCAGAGGGGAGUGGAAUUCCGCGUGUAGGGGUGAAAUCCGUAGAUCUACGAAGGAACGCCAAAAGCGAAGGCAGCUCUCUGGGUCCCUACCGACGCUGGGGUGCGAAAGCAUGGGGAGCGAACAGG